rnacentral:rRNA from 1 species
UGGGGAAUUUUGGACAAUGGGCGAAAGCCUGAUCCAGCAAUGCCGCGUGUGUGAAGAAGGCCUUCGGGUUGUAAAGCACUUUUGUCCGGAAAGAAAUCCUUGGCUCUAAUACAGUCGGGGGAUGACGGUACCGGAAGAAUAAGCACCGGCUAACUACGUGUCAGCAGCCGCGGUAAUACGUAGGGUGCAAGCGUUAAUCGGAAUUACUGGGCGUAAAGCGUGCGCAGGCGGUUUGCUAAGACCGAUGUGAAAUCCCCGGGCUCAACCUGGGAACUGCAUUGGUGACUGGCAGGCUAGAGUAUGGCAGAGGGGGGUAGAAUUCCACGUGUAGCAGUGAAAUGCGUAGAGAUGUGGAGGAAUACCGAUGGCGAAGGCAGCCCCCUGGGCCAAUACUGACGCUCAUGCACGAAAGCGUGGGGAGCAAAACAGGAUUAGAUACCCUGGUAGUCCACGCCCUAAACGAUGUCAACUAGUUGUUGGGGACUUCAUUUCCUUAGUAACGUAGCUAACGCGUGAAGUUGACCGCCUGGGGAGUACGGUCGCAAGAUUAAAACUUAAAUGAAUUGACGGGGUCAUAGCUG